UACGUAGGGUGCGAGCGUUGUCCGGAAUUAUUGGGCGUAAAGAGCUCGUAGGCGGCUGGUUGCGUCGACUGUGAAAACCCGCGGCUCAACCGUGUGGUCUGCAGUCGAUACGGGCUGGCUGGAGUUCGGUAGGGGAGACUGGAAUUCCUGGUGUAGCGGUGAAAUGCGCAGAUAUUAGGAGGAACACCGGUGGCGAAGGCGCCAACUCUGGGCCGAAACUGGAACGCU
rnacentral:rRNA from 1 species